rnacentral:tRNA from 1 species
GAGGGUAUAGCUCAGUGGCAGAGCGCACGCUCAGCACCCAGGAGGUCCCGGGUUCAAUCCCCGGUGCCUCCU